CCUACGGGGGGCAGCAGUGAGGAAUAUUGGUCAAUGGACGAGAGUCUGAACCAGCCAAGUAGCGUGAAGGAUGACUGCCCUAUGGGUUGUAAACUUCUUUUAUAAAGGAAUAAAACGAGGCACGUGUGCCUUUUUGCAUGUACUUUAUGAAUAAGGAUCGGCUAACUCCGGGCCAGCAGCCGCGGUAAUACGGAGGAUCCGAGCGUUCUCCGGAUUUAUUGGGUUUAAAGGCAGCGUAGAUGGGUUGUUCAGUCAGUUGUGAAAGUUUGCGGCUCAACCGUAAAAUUGCAAUUGAUACUGGCAGUCGUGAGUACAGUUGAGGUAGGCGGAAUGCGUGGUGUAGCGGUGAAAUGCUUAGAUAUCACGAAGAACCCCGAUUGCGAAGGCAGCUUACUAAACUGUGACUGACAUUGAUGCUCGAAAGUGUGGGUAUCAAACAGGAUUAGAUACCCCUGUAGUC
rnacentral:rRNA from 1 species